UACGUAGGGGGCUAGCGUUGUCCGGAAUCAUUGGGCGUAAAGCGUGCGCAGGCGGCGCGUUCUGCCCGGCGUGAAAGCCCCCGGCUCAACCGGGGAAGGUCGUCGGGGACGGGCGCGCUUGAGGGCGGCAGGGGCUGGUGGAACUCCCGGUGUAGUGGUGAAAUGCGUAGAGAUCGGGAAGAACACCUGGUGGCGAAGGCGGCCAGCUGGGCCGACCCUGGACGCUGAGGCACGAAGGCGUGGGGGAGCGA
rnacentral:rRNA from 1 species